rnacentral:rRNA from 1 species
UUGAAAAGCCAGGGGAUGACUUGUGGAUCGGAGUGAAAGGCUAAUCAAGCCCGGAGAUAGCUGGUUCUCCCCGAAAGCUAUUUAGGUAGCGCCUCGGACGAAUACCACAGGGGGUAGAGCACUGUUUCGGCUAGGGGGCACACAAGUGUUUACCAAACCGAUGCAAACUCCGAAUACCUGGAAGUGCAAUCACGGGAGACACACGGCGGGUGAUAACGUCCGUCGUGGAAAGGGAAACAACCCAGACCAUCAGCUAAGGUCCCAAAAUUAUGGCUCAGUGGAAAACGAUGUGGGAAGGCCCAGACAGCUAGGAGGUUGGCUUAGAAGCAGCCACCCUUUAAAGAA